rnacentral:snoRNA from 1 species
AAACCAUGAUGUAGGCACUACCUAAAUAAGUCCUUGUAUUUAUCCCAAGCUUUUUGUAACGACUCACCAUCAUAUUGUAUAAACGAAGUGAUAUUGUUCCUCAUUUU